GCCACCGCGGACUCGCCAGUAGCGCCGGUACUGAGGGCAGCUGUGUGUGUGGUGUGUUUUGCGAAUCAGAUUGCUUUUGGGUUGCUUCCGAACUACUGAUACCAUACACAAGGACACAGAGGAAAGAGGGAGAGAGCAAGCUGGCAACUUCCACCUGGAGGGGCACUAGGCCUGCGCGCACUCUUUCGGGAGGAGUGAAGAAACAGGAGAGAAUAACAAAAUCUCACAUGGACCAAUGAGCGCUCAGCUUCUGAUAGCCUCGUAAAGGCGGCUGGCGCAGUGCAUUGUGGGGUGGGAGGGGAUCUAUUCGUCGCCUUUGUAAACUCGCUGGCCGGUCACGCACACACUGAAAUUCAUCAGAUGCCAGCAGAAGAGCCAUCAUGAAGACUGUACACCUGUGCUUCUAAAUACGUGCGUUUACAGUUCCACGGAAUGGGAGGGAAUACAUUAGUAAAACUUCAUGUGUCAUGUCAAGA